rnacentral:tRNA from 1 species
ACAUCGACAGGCUGAAGCGGACGUACCGCAACGGCGGCUACGGAUUGCUGGGACGCCGCAUCGAGCGUUCCCCGCUGCCGUUCGGGCGGCAUCGAUGGG